rnacentral:rRNA from 1 species
GCACAGAGAGCUUGCUCUCGGGUGACGAGCGGCGGACGGGUGAGUAAUGUCUGGGAAACUGCCUGAUGGAGGGGGAUAACUACUGGAAACGGUAGCUAAUACCGCAUAAYGUCGCAAGACCAAAGUGGGGGACCUUCGGGCCUCAUGCCAUCAGAUGUGCCCAGAUGGGAUUAGCUAGUAGGUGGGGUAACGGCUCACCUAGGCGACGAUCCCUAGCUGGUCUGAGAGGAUGACCAGCCACACUGGAACUGAGACACGGUCCAGACUCCUACGGGAGGCAGCAGUGGGGAAUAUUGCACAAUGGGCGCAAGCCUGAUGCAGCCAUGCCGCGUGUGUGAAGAAGGCCUUCGGGUUGUAAAGCACUUUCAGCGGGGAGGAAGGCGWUGAGGUUAAUAACCUYGKCGAUUGACGUUACCCGCAGAAGAAGCACCGGCUAACUCCGUGCCAGCAGCCGCGGUAAUACGGAGGGUGCAAGCGUUAAUCGGAAUUACUGGGCGUAAAGCGCACGCAGGCGGUCUGUCAAGUCGGAUGUGAAAUCCCCGGGCUCAACCUGGGAACUGCAUUCGAAACUGGCAGGCUAGAGUCUUGUAGAGGGGGGUAGAAUUCCAGGUGUAGCGGUGAAAUGCGUAGAGAUCUGGAGGAAUACCGGUGGCGAAG